ACUUUAAAAAUAAAUUUAAAUAUUAAAGUUAAGACCGAAUAUAUAACCUCUUAGCUAACCUCUCCACUUUUUGUGGCUUCUGAAUUUUUUAAGCCGAAGUCAAAAAAGUGAGAUUUAGUUAUAACUCACUUUAUCAGGCCACUUUCGUAAAGUGACUUUUAUAUUCACUUUCGUAAACGAAACAACCGAUAAGACAUCACUUUCUAAAAAAACCACUUUUGAUGCUACACUUUCGGCGAACCAAACAUGCCCUAUAAGUCAGGAGCACAAAAAGUAUUUUCACUUUGAGUCUUUUCAAAUAUACCUCUUUACCAUCACCAACAUUUCUUAUUUGACCUUAAGUUAAGGACAAAAUUGGUAUUUUAAUUUUUUUUAACUGUGGUAUAUAUUUAACUUACGUUUAACUCAAAUUAACUUAACGGGUGCUAACUGUAGGGGUAUUUUGGAAUAACGGAGGAACAUAUGAGGGUAUAUUAGAAAGAAAAAAAAAGUAGGGGUAAAUGAGAUAUUUUCGAAGUUUUGAGGGGUAUAUAGACAAUUAUUCCUAUUUUUUUUUCAAUAACUCUUCUUGAAAAAAAAAAAGAGUAAGGAUAAAUAAAAUAUUUCCGAAGUUUUAACUUACACUU
rnacentral:lncRNA from 1 species